UGGUGCGAUCAUACCAGCGUUAAUGCACCUGAUCCCAUCAGAACUCCGCAGUUAAGCACACUUGGGCUAGAGUAGUACUCGGAUGGGUGACCUCUCGGGAAGUUCUAGUGUUGCACCCU
rnacentral:rRNA from 1 species